GACGAACGCUGGCGGCGUGCUUAACACAUGCAAGUCGAACGGUAAGGCCCUUCGGGGUACACGAGUGGCGAAAGCGCGAGUAACACGUGGGGGAUCUGCCCUGCACUUCGGGAUAAGCCUGGGAAACUGGGUCCAAUACCGGAUAGGACCCUGGGAUGCAUGUCCUGGGGUGGAAAGUUUUUGCGGUGUGGGCUGGGCCAGCGGCCUAGCAGCUUUGUGGUGGGGUGCUGGCCUAACAAGGCGACGACGGGCAGCCGGCCUGAACGGGUGACCGGCCACGCGGGGACUGAGAGACGGCCCAGACGCCUACGGUGGGCAGCAGUGGGGAAUAGUGCACAAUGGGCGCAAGCCUGAUGCAGCGACGCCGCGUGAGGGAUAACGGCCUUCGGGUUGUAAACCUCGUUCAGCACCAACGAAGCGCGAGUGACGGUAGGUGCAGAAGAAGGACCGGCCAACUACGUGCCAUGAUCAAACCCUC
rnacentral:rRNA from 1 species